rnacentral:rRNA from 1 species
GUCUCAGUUCGGAUCGGAGUCUGCAACCCGACUCCGUGAAGCUGGAUUCGCUAGUAAUCGCGCAUCAGCCAUGGCGCGGUGAAUACGUUCCCGGGCCUUGUACACACCGCCCGUCAAGCCAUGGGAGCCGGGGGCGCCUGAAGUCCGGGACCGCGAGGACCGGCCUAGGGCGAAACUGGUAACUGGGGCUAAGUCGUAACAAGGUACC